CCCUUAGAUGUUCUGGGCUGCACGCGUGCUACACUGAUUAUUUCAACAAGUGUUUUAACUGGAGAGUUCGCGUAAUCCUGAAAUGUUAUCGUGAUGGGAGUAGAGUAUUGUAUUUGUUAAUCUUUAACGAGGAAUUCCUAGCAAGUGUAGGUUUAUAAGUUGUUCUGAUUACGUCCCUGCCCUUUGUACACACCGCCCGUCGCUCCUACCGAUGGGUGAUCCGGUGAAUGAUUCGGACUUCAGCGGCUCCCCUGGGGUGCGCCGGAGAAAGUUUUGUGAACCUUAUCACUUGGAGGAAGGAGAAGUCGUAACA
rnacentral:rRNA from 1 species